UAGAAUAGAAUAGAAUAGAAUAGAAUAGGUUUCAUUUGGCCAAGAGUGAUUAGCCACACAAGGAAUUUGUCUAUGGUGCAUAAGCUCUCAGUGUACAUGCAAAACAACAGAGUAAUAAUAUUCAUAAUAAUGAUACCAAUAAUAGGAGGUAGUAAAGAAGACGAGAAGGAUAAUAAUAAUACUACAGCCAUACUACAUGGGUAAAUCUACUUGGACAUAACACAGUACUAUGGGGAUUAGGUGUUCAGCAGAAUGAUGGUAUGCGGAAAACCUGUCUCUAUGUCUAGUUGUUUUGGCAUGCAAUGCUCUAUGGCGGCGUCAUGAGGGGAGGAGUGUGAAACCGGUUAUGUCCAGGAUGUGAUGGGUUUGUAGAUAUUUUCUCAGCCCUCUUUCUGACCCAUAAUAUAUAGGUCUUCAUUGGAAGGCAGGCUGGUUGCAACUGUUUUUUUUUGUUUGUUUGUUUGUUUGUUUGUUUGUUUUGCAGUGCUAACUAUCUGUUGAAGUCUGUACCUCUCCUAUUUGGUCGCUGUACAAAACAGUUAUAUAAAGUAGGUGAAUAUUAUUCUUGGAUAAUGAUCAAUAAAAGCCAUUGUGUAUAUGCUCCUGGAAAGCCUUAUGUUUUCACAGAUCGGUCGACACCAAGAACACUGAACACUGUUUUGAUUUAGAUGAAACAACGGUUGUGUAAGUUAGCUUGCCAUUGAGAACUAAUUCAUUUCAAAACAUCUGCCUCUGUUGAGAGCCUUUGUUGGCUGCUGUCUCCAUCAUUCCAGCAUGUGGUCCAGAAGGUCACAUCUUUCGCCAUAGGGCCACGUGUGGAUUCAUUCAUUGUGUGGCUUAUUUGGAGAGAUCACUCUUUUCUUUCGUGGCAGACAGUCGCUACACAUCUAGAGGGCAGAUCUUCCUGGGCUCUGGCAAUGACUCCUGACUGGUUCGCUUGUCAUCUUUAAACAGAACCAUAAAUCUCGCUCACAAAAGUUGUUUAAAGGAAGACUUCUCCGCCUUCUAGCCAGAGAGUCGACUCACAAGCCUUUUGAAACACUGGUCUCUCCAAGCAUUAAACGUUUCAUGUCACAGGUAUGCUUUGACUUAAGAAAAAAGGCAUUCCUUCCAUGUUGGGGCUACCUGAAACAGCAAGAAUUUUGGGAACAAAGGUCAGCAAUGUUUUUUUUUAAAUACAACAUAUCAUCACAAACAAGAUCUAAUUACUUCCUAACUUGCAACUCAAGGGGCAAUUUGCUACACAUCCCACACCAUAAACGCUGCUGACAUAAACUUGCCCGCAUUUUGCUUAAUGUUUCUAAGGCAGCUCUACUUCAUUAAUAUACGCUUCUAAUUUUAUGCACUCUUGUUUGAUUCAUUAACCCCUGGAUAAAAUGAAUGAGCUGUUGAUUUAGGGAUACUGUUCAUGAGAUGCUGGGAAGUUAUGGAUCACCUCCUUCCAAUCAUCCUUUUUUUUAUUAUUAUCAAUCUUUUGGCCCCUCCCUUAUUCCAAAGCUACAACAGCAAAUGCUAGCAAAUUAUAUGGCAUGGUCAGGGAGCUAUUAUAUGCCCUACCUUUACCAUCAAGAGUCUAGAACCAUAGAACAUAGAAUAAUAGAGCUGGAAGGGACCUUGGAAGUCUUCUAGUCCAGCCUCCC